GCCUCUCGUCCUUCGCCGGAAAGUCCCCGGCCGGGCACGCCGCCGAAAGCGGCGCCGCCGGUUGUUUCGCGGCGC
rnacentral:RNase_MRP_RNA from 12 species